GCCCGAUUAGCUCAGCUGGUUAGAGCGUCGUACUAAUAUCUGCCUUCUGGCAAAUAUAUGGUAUGCGAAGGUCAACAGUUCAAUCCUGUUAUUGGGCA
rnacentral:tRNA from 1 species